CAGUAGCCACGGGAACACGAAGGGUGCAAGCGUUACUCGGAAUUACUGGGCGUAAAGCGUGCGUAGGUGGUGGUUUAAGUCCGUUGUGAAAGCCCUGGGCUCAACCUGGGAAUUGCAGUGGAUACUGGGUCACUAGAGUGUGGUAGAGGAUAGUGGAAUUUCCGGUGUAGCAGUGAAAUGCGUAGAGAUCGGAAGGAACAUCUGUGGCGAAGGCGACUAUCUGGGCCAACACUGACACUGAGGCACGAAAGCGUGGGGAGCAAACAGGAUUAGAUACCCGCGUAGUCCCUGUCUCUUAUAC
rnacentral:rRNA from 1 species